AUAGAGGAGUUCAUUUAACAAGCUCUGAUUACCAUUCGACAUGCUUGCCUGAGCACAGACAGGACGACAGAACACACCAGUUCUCAGUUUUUAAAAUCAUUUUAUUAAACCAAAGACCAAAAUAAAGAUUAUGAUCAAAAUUCCAACAUUUGAGGGUUUUUAAAAGUUUUGAAACCUGUGACGUUUAUAUCGCCUACAGACUUCCACUUAUUGCAUUGAUGCUUUUUUGGUGCAUUACCAACCACACUUAGCAGAAAGGUCAUAACCAUGAUGAUUUACCUGGGAGGUCCAGGAUAAAAAUAAGCUGUGGUUUCCUAUUGACUCCCUCUUUGCAUAACUGAGCUUAAAAGGCAAGUCUAGUAAUAUUCUAUAUUAGUUUUAUUUUUACAGAAUCCCAUUAAGACCAAAACCUACAAUGAAUUGAUCAUAUUACCAAUUAUUGACUGUAUAACUUAAGCCUGAUUAAGCUUAUUCCUGUGUGUGACGGAGCCUCAUUAUUCAGCCCCUCCAGGAUGCAAAAUAAACGAACCUCUGUGACUUUUGUGCCCUUUUACACUGCCUGUUCAAAACGAGUAUAAUUUCAGUUGUUUUAUCUGGCCAUUCUUUUUAAAAGGUACCAUCACUGAAUGGGGGGACAGAGUUAGAAGCAGCAGAGGUAGAAACACCAGUGAAUCAACGUCUGUGUAAAGGGACCAGCCAGCAGGACGGGACAAUGGAUGGGACAGGUGUGACGUUUUGAUGACUUGUUACAUGUGUGACCCACUGUUGGGAGGUUUAAAAAGUGGAUAGUAGCAGUUAGCAGCAAACGCAAAGAAGAAGAACAGCAACCGUAAUGGUCCGCAAAUUGGAAAAACAAUGAGGUCUGGGAGCUCCUUACCCUCCGAGUAGAGGACGAGGUCAGCCACCAUGUAACAGGGAGAGCAAAUGAUUGUUAUUGCAAUAUUAUCCUGCUGUUAUUAUUUAUAAAGUGCUGCCAACAUGUAUGCUGUAUGUCACACUAAAGGCUGAUGUUGUACUGUUACACAUCACGCCUAACACUUCAUAAUAAAAAGAGUCAUAAUUAACCUUGUUUGCAGUUAAAGGUGCCCUGCCAACAGUUUCACAGACAUCUCUUUUAUAAUGGUGGUCUAUGGGGAGAAUUCUUUUUGGCAGCAGGAUUUUUAUUAUAUUUUCUUUCUUUCAAGUGGCCACUGGGAAAAACUGACUGCAAGGCCGAGCAGAGUUUCUGGGAGCCUGAUGCUACAACGUGAGAUACAAAAACUGUACGUUGGUUUAUUGCGCCCCUAGUGGUUAAAAAAAAGGCCCUUGUAACUUGAUGAAAUUGCUUUUGUGGCAGUACAGAGACCUGUGGGUUGCCAUGCCUAAUUGGCAAUGGCACAGCCAACCACCGGAGGCGCACCCACCUAUAAAAGGGGCGAUCCCACCCUGCCAGUUCUCUCUCUCUCGCUGCUUCCGACGGGUGACGUCAUUUCCGAGCCGGACGUUUUGUUUCGGACAGAGUGGCUGACUUGGUGCUUCCCAGGCUCGUGUGUGUGUCACCUAAAUGGCCUGCUGUGUUGCUGAGGUCCGGUGGUGGUGGUGACCUGGUGGCGGGGUCCCCCCCCCCCCCUUUCGUGUGCUGUGCUCCCCUGGGUUCUGGGUCUCCUCACUGUGUGCGUGUGACUGUCACGAGUGUCUGGGUGCUUAUAUUUCUGGUUGGGGUUUCUCCACACCAUCAAUAGCCUCUUCACCCCGAAACACCAUCUCAACCAGGCUCCACUCACCCCAUCCCACCAGGCUGAGUUUGAGCAGGUAUCUCCUGACGUAGAUGUUAAAGACUCGGAUUAGGAGAAGGUAGAGGUGGAAUCCCUCCAGAGCUGCCCAGCUGAAGGUGGC